UUUACCAGGAAAAUAAGGCAGUUUACAAUCAGAAUAGUUGACCUUUUGAUAUUCUAAGUCAUAAUUUACUUUGCAUAAGCCUGCGAUCGGUUCUCUUUAUUCAUAUUCAGCCUGAAUUCAAUUUCAAGUACCUGCUUCAGUAAUGCUACAGUUACUUUAUACAUUUGUUUUGUCAUGCAGCAUGCAGCCUUGGUGGUCAUGAUACAACCUGUAUUUGUGUACCACUUUUUUUCUCAUGUUAAAAACCUUUAAUUACAACAUGUAAUUCAAAUCACAGCCAUGAAAAGAUUUUGCAGCCAUAUUGUAAAACCGCCAUGGUGAUCAUACUGCAUUUUCACUAGUUUCAAUCUGGAGUAAACCUAAAGUGAAAUCUGCCAGCUCCAAACCAAGACUCAUGGUGACUUUCAAUUGCUUUCUGCUUCACUCCUCACUCGCUGAAGAUCUGCUGUAUUGGACUGCUUUAAGUAAUGAACAACGUGUGGAUGCAAUAACAACUGGACAUGGUUGUAUAUAAUAUGAAUCUUAAAAAUUCAAUACAUCGUGUGUUGUAAUAGACAUACUUAAUUCACUCAUGUGAAGUAAACAUUCUCUGAAUUUUGGGGCCUGCAAUCUUUUGUUGCUUCUGUGUGAACCAUCAUGGUUCCUAACUGCCGUUAUGUUUUGGCCACAACUGUCUCCUAAGUCUUCAAUUAAUACUUGAUUUAAUGGAAACUCUGUGAAGCCCAGCCUCCAAGGGAUUGUAACUUGGGUGAAAAAUUCAUGGGAUAAAGUCACUGACAGCUGUGUUUCCUAUGCCCUGUGAGCAGGCUACAUGGAUGAGAUGUGCACAUUUUAAGAGAGCUCUACUGCUGGACCUGAGAGGCUGGGGCCAAUAUUUCCAUAGAAAUGGAAUUUCAAGACAUUCAGUCCAUAAUGUGGGGUUUGGAGAACUAUAAUAGUGUUCUAGAAAAAGGUGACAAGACUGUAUUUGAACAAAUACGGAUUUUUGUAUAUGAAAAAAAUAAGAUUACCCUGAAAAAUAAGUCCUGGUGCAUCUUUUGGAGCAAAAUUUAAAGUAAGAGCUGGUCUUAUUUUCAGGGAAUAAUAUUUUUGAACUCUAGUUCACCCAACAGGGUCAUCAUGGGCAGCUGAGUUACUGCACCUGAAUGAAUAAUAUUUUCAUGGUAUGAGAUGACCCAAGAUAGCUUGGGCAGGGCAUAUGAAUGAGUACCCUCUACAGUGGUCAAGCAAAUGGCAGACGUGCAGGCCCUUUAACAUCUGCUUUCUGCCACCUUCUCUCUUCCAAUAGUCAUGACUGAUGUCUGAGUGUUCACUGUGGGAGCAGCACUUUGGGUGCAGUAACUCAGCUGUCUAUGGUGACCCUAUUGGUGAGCUAGAGUUUGAUUCUUUUGUCCCUCAAAGGCCACCAGCUUGGUGCUACUAGGAGGUGGUGGAGCCCUCAGGAGUUGGAAUCUAGUGAAAGGUCUCCAGUCACUGGGCAGAACCCCCUGAAGGGGACAGCAGGAUCUCACGCCCUUCUUCUUCUCUUCCCAGCCAUGAGAGAGAACAGGCCCAGCUGCAGGCGUGCAUGCCAGUGCAGGCGGCACCAGCAAGAACAGACUGGGAAACGGGUGCGCACUCCUGCAGGCAGGACCUGUGGCGGGAGCAGGCUGAAGCAGGAGGGAGAAUAUGAAGCAGCCGCUGGUCAUCAGAAGCCCUCACAGAUGACCUUGUUGAUUUCCCAUCACAACGUAUUGCAGCACUUCUGACUGAUGACUUCCAAGCUGCCUGCUGGAAAGACUGAAAAGCUCUGCACAAUGUCUUGCACAAACUGACUACAAGAAAAAAAUCCACAAAUUUCUUAGAGCUUCUGCAUCCU